CAGCAGCCGCGGGAAUACGUAGGUGGCAAGCGUUGUCCGGAAUUAUUGGGCGUAAAGGGCUCGCAGGCGGUUUCUUAAGUCUGAUGUGAAAGCCCCCGGCUCAACCGGGGAGGGUCAUUGGAAACUGGGAAACUUGAGUGCAGAAGAGGAGAGUGGAAUUCCACGUGUAGCGGUGAAAUGCGUAGAGAUGUGGAGGAACACCAGUGGCGAAGGCGACUCUCUGGUCUGUAACUGACGCUGAGGAGCGAAAGCGUGGGGAGCGAACAGGAUUAGAUACCCCUGUAGUCCCUGUCUCUUAUAA
rnacentral:rRNA from 1 species